rnacentral:rRNA from 1 species
AUUGAACGCUGGCGGCAUGCCUUACACAUGCAAGUCGAACGGCAGCACGGGAGCAAUCCUGGUGGCGAGUGGCGAACGGGUGAGUAAUAUAUCGGAACGUGCCCAGUCGUGGGGGAUAACGUAGCGAAAGCUACGCUAAUACCGCAUACGAUCUAUGGAUGAAAGCGGGGGAUCGCAAGACCUCGCGCGAUUGGAGCGGCCGAUAUCAGAUUAGGUAGUUGGUGAGGUAAAGGCUCACCAAGCCGACGAUCUGUAGCUGGUCUGAGAGGACGACCAGCCACACUGGGACUGAGACACGGCCCAGACUCCUACGGGAGGCAGCAGUGGGGAAUUUUGGACAAUGGGCGCAAGCCUGAUCCAGCAAUGCCGCGUGCAGGAUGAAGGCCUCGGUG